AUACGUAGGGGGCGAGCGUUGUCCGGAAUGAUUGGGCGUAAAGGGCGCGUAGGCGGCCCGGUAAGUCUGGAGUGAAAGUCCUGUUUUUAAGAUGGGAAUUGCUUUGGAUACUGUCGGGCUUGAGUGCCGGAGAGGUAAGUGGAAUUCCCAGUGUAGCGGUGAAGUGCAUAGAGAUUGGGAGGAACACCAGUGGCGAAGGCGACUUACUGGACUGUAACUGACGCUGAGGCGCGAAAGUGUGGGGAGCAAACAGGAUUAGAUACCCUGGUAGUCCACACUGUAAACGAUGAAUGCUAGGUGUAGGGGGUAUCGACCCCUUCUGUGCCGCAGUCAACACAAUAAGCAUUCCGCCUGGGGAGUACGGCCGCAAGGUUGAAACUCAAAGGAAUUGACGGGG
rnacentral:rRNA from 1 species